CAGCAGCCACGGGAAUACGGAGGGUGCAAGCGUUAAUCGGAAUUACUGGGCGUAAAGCGCACGCAGGCGGUCUGUCAAGUCAGAUGUGAAAUCCCCGGGCUUAACCUGGGAACUGCAUUUGAAACUGGCAGGCUAGAGUCUUGUAGAGGGGGGUAGAAUUCCAGGUGUAGCGGUGAAAUGCGUAGAGACCUGGAGGAAUACCGAUGGCGAAGGCAGCCAUCUGGCCUAAUACUGACGCUGAGGUACGAAAGCAUGGGGAGCAAACAGGAUUAGAUACCCGGGUAGUCCCUGUCUCUUAUAC
rnacentral:rRNA from 1 species